UACGUAGGGUGCGAGCGUUAAUCGGAAUUACUGGGCGUAAAGCGUGCGCAGGCGGUUCGUUAAGUUCGUUGUGAAAGCCCCGGGCUCAACCUGGGAACUGCAAUGGAAACUGGCGGGCUUGAGUGUGGCAGAGGGGGGUGGAAUUCCGCGUGUAGCAGUGAAAUGCGUAGAGAUGCGGAGGAACACCGAUGGCGAAGGCAGCCCCCUGGGCCAACACUGACGCUCGGGCACGAAAGCGUGGGGAGCAAACAGG
rnacentral:rRNA from 1 species